UGCACAGUAUAAGGGGAAAAAUUCCUCUAAAAUAGCUUUUACUUCUGCCUUUCAAGUGUAGCUCUGUACAAGAGGGCCGUCCACAAAGUCCAUCUUCUGCAUCAGGAGCUUCUCCCUCUGUCCUUCUCCUUCCUGCUCCAUACUGGGGGCAUUAUUCUCUCCACUCUAAGCCCCCAGGGCCCUUCGACCUCCAGUGUCACAUCCUGCUACUGAAAGAUGGAACUGAGCCAACGUAACGUGGAACAGCCUCCAGCUUUUCACAACAUGGUAUUUCUACCACCUUUUGCUUUUCGGUUGCCCAGAGUCCUUUUUCUGAAAAUUCCCUUCAUUUUAUGGACAAACAGGAAAUGAUGAUGAUAUGAGACAUUUACAUAUGAUGAGCUUUGAUGAGUUACAUAUUAAUAUGAAAACACUUGAGUCAACAUGUUCCUUCAGACAGGAUUUAUAUGUUGAUUGGUUCUUUUUUCUGAUGGCGAAAUAAAAAAUUUUUAUUUCUGUUUAAGGAAUUUAGGUUUCCUACCAGCAAGUGAAGAAAUUUUUAAUUUGUGUUCUUCAGGGAUAUUCUGAAGUCAUGGCUUACCCAGACAGACGGAAGCUCUAGUCAAAUAAAACCCCCAGUCAGGCUGUAUCACAGCUCAGGAUCGAGAGACCUUUGGCACUAUCCUGUUUGCAAUUUCCCUGGAUUAAUCCAACGAAUCAUGGCUAGGGAUCUGUUUGGCUCUGAGAAGAGGUUUAUGAAGCAAGGAGGACUCCCUAACUUCAGGACCACAAGACUGCUGCAGAAUCACCUACAUUUGCUUACAUUCAGGUGAGUUUUGCUUUGCUUUAUCUGGGACAUCACACUUCAUAAAAUGCCCCAUGAAUGGUUUGGAACUCAUGUACCUGGAGACAGUGG
rnacentral:lncRNA from 12 species